rnacentral:rRNA from 1 species
GAUGAACGCUGGCGGCGUGCCUAAUACAUGCAAGUCGAGCGAACGGACGAGAAGCUUGCUUCUCUGAUGUUAGCGGCGGACGGGUGAGUAACACGUGGAUAACCUACCUAUAAGACUGGGAUAACUUCGGGAAACCGGAGCUAAUACCGGAUAAUAUUUUGAACCGCAUGGUUCAAAAGUGAAAGACGGUCUUGCUGUCACUUAUAGAUGGAUCCGCGCUGCAUUAGCUAGUUGGUAAGGUAACGGCUUACCAAGGCAACGAUGCAUAGCCGACCUGAGAGGGUGAUCGGCCACACUGGAACUGAGACACGGUCCAGACUCCUACGGGAGGCAGCAGUAGGGAAUCUUCCGCAAUGGGCGAAAGCCUGACGGAGCAACGCCGCGUGAGUGAUGAAGGUCUUCGGAUCGUAAAACUCUGUUAUUAGGGAAGAACAUAUGUGUAAGUAACUGUGCACAUCUUGACGGUACCUAAUCAGAAAGCCACGGCUAACUACGUGCCAGCAGCCGCGGUAAUACGUAGGUGGCAAGCGUUAUCCGGAAUUAUUGGGCGUAAAGCGCGCGUAGGCGGUUUUUUAAGUCUGAUGUGAAAGCCCACGGCUCAACCGUGGAGGGUCAUUGGAAACUGGAAAACUUGAGUGCAGAAGAGGAAAGUGGAAUUCCAUGUGUAGCGGUGAAAUGCGCAGAGAUAUGGAGGAACACCAGUGGCGAAGGCGACUUUCUGGUCUGUAACUGACGCUGAUGUGCGAAAGCGUGGGGAUCAAACAGGAUUAGAUACCCUGGUAGUCCACGCCGUAAACGAUGAGUGCUAAGUGUUAGGGGGUUUCCGCCCCUUAGUGCUGCAGCUAACGCAUUAAGCACUCCGCCUGGGGAGUACGACCGCAAGGUUGAAACUCAAAGGAAUUGACGGGGACCCGCACAAGCGGUGGAGCAUGUGGUUUAAUUCGAAGCAACGCGAAGAACCUUACCAAAUCUUGACAUCCUUUGACAACUCUAGAGAUAGAGCUUUCCCCUUCGGGGGACAAAGUGACAGGUGGUGCAUGGUUGUCGUCAGCUCGUGUCGUGAGAUGUUGGGUUGAGUCCCGCAACGAGCGCAACCCUUAAGCUUAGUUGCCAUCAUUAAGUUGGGCACUCUAAGUUGACUGCCGGUGACAAACCGGAGGAAGGUGGGGAUGACGUCAAAUCAUCAUGCCCCUUAUGAUUUGGGCUACACACGUGCUACAAUGGACAAUACAAAGGGCAGCGAAACCGCGAGGUCAAGCAAAUCCCAUAAAGUUGUUCUCAGUUCGGAUUGUAGUCUGCAACUCGACUACAUGAAGCUGGAAUCGCUAGUAAUCGUAGAUCAGCAUGCUACGGUGAAUACGUUCCCGGGUCU